UUCGGGGUAAGGUAGCUUGCUACCUGACCUAGCGGCGGACGGGUGAGUAAUGCUUAGGAAUCUGCCUAUUAGUGGGGGACAACAUUCCGAAAGGAAUGCUAAUACCGCAUACGCCCUACGGGGGAAAGCAGGGGAUCUUCGGACCUUGCGCUAAUAGAUGAGCCUAAGUCAGAUUAGCUAGUUGGUGGGGUAAAGGCCUACCAAGGCGACGAUCUGUAGCGGGUCUGAGAGGAUGAUCCGCCACACUGGGACUGAGACACGGCCCAGACUCCUACGGGAGGCAGCAGUGGGGAAUAUUGGACAAUGGGCGAAAGCCUGAUCCAGCCAUGCCGCGUGUGUGAAGAAGGCCUUUUGGUUGUAAAGCACUUUAAGCGAGGAGGAGGCUACUUGGAUUAAUACUCUAGGAUAGUGGACGUUACUCGCAGAAUAAGCACCGGCUAACUCUGUGCGGGGAGCCGCGGUAAUACAGAGGGUGCGAGCGUUAAUCGGAUUUACUGGGCGUAAAGCGUGCGUAGGCGGCUUCUUAAGUCGGAUGUGAAAUCCCUGAGCUUAACUUAGGAAUUGCAUUCGAUACUGGGAAGCUAGAGUAUGGGAGAGGAUGGUAGGAAUUCCAGGUGUACCGCUGAAUGCGUAGAGAUCUGGAGGAAUACCAAUGGCGACGGCCGUCACCUGGCCUAAUACUGACGCUGAGGUACGAAAGCUUGGGGGAG
rnacentral:rRNA from 1 species